rnacentral:lncRNA from 1 species
GAAUUUAAUCAACUAUAAUCAGUUAUGGAAUUUAGAGUAUCUACAAUCUUGCUCCAAAACCCUUAUUUUUGCCCUUCAAUUGCUGUAAGUCUUGUUUUCGAGCUCCUCCUUUGAUUCACUGCAUCCCAUAUUCUUCUUUGUUCCUAUAUAAAAGCUAACAGAGUUUUUUUUUUGGGAUGAAGAAAACACUCUGAAUUGCCAUGAGAUAGUAGAUUUAAUGCUGGAAGAGUUCUGUGUCAUUUAUUGAAUAUAAGGAUCAAAAACACUGUUAAUUUAGCAUCAGAUUUAUGUCAUCGACUCAUAAAUCUGCAAUUGGAUCAAGGACGCCUGUUGUGUCAUAAAUACCUCAAAUUUAAUUUUUGUUAUGCAUGCAGAGAUUCUGCAAAACACCCUUCAAACAAAA